UUCCCUUCCUCAUCCCCUCCUUCAGCUCUGGGUCAAAACAUUUUAUUAUUAGGUGGGGGUUAAUCAUGUUUCAAAUUAAGCACUACAUGUUGAGAACAGUGGGUUGUGAUUCCUUUCUGUACAUUUUCUUACUUGUCUGUAAAUAUUAUUACUGACUGUGCAUAAUGUGUUGACACAAAAACAUCUACAAGUCACUACAAGGAGUGGAACGGUCUGCCUCCCCGUUUACACUAGUGGUUUGUCCCAACCCAACAGCCACUUUGCUGCUGGCUUGUUUGCAACCGGCUUCUAAACUGAAUUCCACUCUGAGCACUUUUAUGGUAAGUUUUUCAAUAUUACUUUGAUCUUAAAUAUGCUCAUUAAAAAAUAACUGCAUUGUUUUGUGCCUGUAGUAAUCUUGGUUAUUUUGGGGCAAACCAGAUAUUUUUUAAUAAAUUAAGUCAUGUCAGCUUUUGUAUAUUUUUUUUAGCCUGUCCACCACUCUAGGCCCUAUGAGAUAUUGUGGGAUUUGAGUUUUUAAAAAUAGGGUGGGGCCUAUUGUUUGGUCUGGAAGAGCAUGUGGUGGACAAGGAAGUGUAAGGCUGCUGCAGGUGGGCUUUAAAUCAUUUCAAAUCACUUGUUUUUCAUUUUUUUAUUAUGAUGUUCCUAGGGACAUGCUCAGAUGUGCCUCUGUUCCAGAACAGCUGAUUCAGAUGAUUGCAUGACCUUCUGCAGCCGUCAAGAACUGCAGAAGGCUGUUAAUCACCCACAGAUUCAAUCCAGGUGUGGUGGAAGGGAAACACCUGAAACAUGCAAGGAAGCUGCUGCUCUGCAGUUUGACCCAAAGCUGACUGUCGGACAACAGCGAAACUGUCAAGAAGUGGCUUCAUUAUGUGCCAGAAUGGGAAGAAGGCAUCGCAAGGAACCAACCAAAGUGACGCCAAGCAGUCAAACUGGGGUUACCCCAACUUGUACUGUUUCCCUGGUUCAUAGAGUACAAAGCUUAAGCUCAUGGAUGCUGAGGACAGUCAAAAGGAGUCAAAUAUGUUUAAAGAUCUAUCCCUCUUUUCUUAAAUAAAAUUAUCAAUGCCAUUUUGUCAUUAACCUUUUGUGCACACAUUUUUGGAAAUAUGUUAAAGAAUUUUGAACGACAUACCCAUGAUACCCAUCAUCUAUCAAUAAAAUGGUGUGCAACACCAGUGAAGAAGCUUUUAGUGGUAUGUUAUGAUGCAGACCAAAAGAUGUACAUACAUCCUUAGCUUUCAUUCAAUGUAAAAACACAAAUAUGCAUGCAGAUCCACAUUCAAAUGAUGGUUGAAUAAACACUGAUAUAGUGUCAGUUAUGGCUGAAACCCUAACGUUGAUUCAACAUGCAAGUCACUGACCACUCUUUAUUCAGUAUUGCUCUGAUGUC